rnacentral:rRNA from 1 species
GAGGCCAAGAGUAAUUUAAAGGAGGUACAGCUCCUUUAAAAAAGAAUACAACCUCCUCUAGCGGAUAAUCCACCCUAUGCACAAUAAUUGUGGGCCUUCAAGCAGCCACCAGCAAAGAGUGCGUCAAAGCUCCAUCCCCCAAAAAUAUAAAAACCCCACGACUCCCUUCCCACUAACAGGUUAACCUAUAACAAUAGGAGAAUUAAUACUAAAAUGAGUAACUAGGGCGUACCCCCUCUUAAGCGCAAACUUACAUUCACACAUUAUUAACAGGCGACUAAUACUUCCACCCCAACAAGAACCUCAUAUUUUUUCCCCUGUUAACCCGACUCAGGAGCGCCUACUAGAAAGAUUAAAAUCUGUAAAAGGAACUAGGCAAACCUCCAAGGCCCGACUGUUUACCAAAAACAUAGCCUUCAGCCAGCCCAAGUAUUGAAGGUGACGCCUGCCCAGUGACCAUAUGUUCAACGGCCGCGGUAUCCUAACCGUGCGAAGGUAGCGCAAUCAAUUGUCUCAUAAAUCGAGACUUGUAUGAAUGGCUAAACGAGGCCUUAACUGUCUCUUACAGAUAAUCAGUGAAAUUGAUCUCCCUGUGCAAAAGCAGGAAUAAAUACAUAAGACGAGAAGACCCUGUGGAACUUAAAAAUCAGCAGCCACCCCGCAACGUAAAACUAAACCUACCAGGUCUACCAUCUCAGUAAAAGCUGGCUAACAUUUUUUGGUUGGGGCGACCUUGGAGAAAAGCAAAUCCUCCAAAAACAAGACCACCCUCUCUUGACCAAGAGCAACCCCUCAACGUACUAACAGCAACCAGACCCAAUAAAAUUGACCAAUGGACCAAGCUACCCCAGGGAUAACAGCGCAAUCUCUUCCAAGAGCCCGUAUCGACGAAGAGGUUUACGACCUCGAUGUUGGAUCAGGACAUCCUAAUGGUGCAGCAGCUAUUAAGGGUUCGUUUGUUCAACGAUUAACAGUCCUACGUGAUCUGAGUUCAGACCGGAGCAAUCCAGGUCGGUUUCUAUCUAUGACAAACUUUUCCCAGUACGAAAGGACCGGAAAAGUGGGGCCAAUAUUUCAGCAUACGCCUCCUCUCUAAGUAAUGACUUCAACUGAAUUGCCAAGAGACCCUCCCCCAAAUCCUAGAAAAGGAUC